rnacentral:lncRNA from 1 species
CUAACCUCUGGGUACAGAUCCAAAGGAAAUGAAAAUAGGAUAUCAAGGAGAUUUCUGCACUCUUAUGUUGAUCGCAGCAUUAUACACAUUAGUCAAGAUAUGGAAACAAGAAACAUCUGACCUCAGCUAUAGAAGAUUGUACCAAGCUCCAAUAGUCUUCAUGCUGUGCUCACCAGACUUGAUCAUCAUAAGGGGAACAUGGGAACAUCUGGACUACAGGAGAGCACGACAGCUGUGAAUUCCUGUCUCAUGAAAACAUAGGUAUGUUCUAGUAUUUUCGUCUUCUGGUAAGUAUUCUCUGCUAUCUACAACAGAAGACACAGAGUAGAAAACAGAUCCUAGAUAGCAUACACCUGAGAUAGCGUAGGCCUCAGUCUAACAUGAAAGCAAAAAUGUGAAAGGUAUGGGAGAUAUAAAUAAAUACCAAUACACUAAUGCCCCCUCAGGAAUGAAGAUUAUACCAAAUUUCAACAAAAGCAGUUAGUGGAUUUUGAAGUUACUGAAUGCUCAUUCUACUAAAUAUCUUAUGUUUAAUAUAUCAUUCAAUCCUCCUCACAACCAUCCUACAAAGCAGGUGCUACUAGAAUAACUAUUUUAUAGAUAAGGAAACUGAGGCUUAAAGAAGUUAAUUAGCUUGCUCAAGCUCACACAGCGAGGAAGUGACUGAAGUCUGCUCUAAUAAAAUCAUGGGUGAUCUCACUCUAGGCCUGGGGUCGUACCUAGUUUUUUUUGUUUUCUGUUGUUGUUGUUGUUGUGAGGAAGAUUGGCCCUGAGCUAACAUCUGUUGCUA